GUGUCAGCAGCCGCGGUAAGACGAACCGUGCGAACGUUGUUCGGAAUCACUGGGCUUAAAGGGCGCGUAGGCGGGUCGGAAAGUCCGCGGUGAAAUCCCCCCGCUCAACGGGGGAACGGCCGCGGAUACUGUCGGCCUCGAGGGGGGUAGGGGCGAGCGGAACGCUGGGUGGAGCGGUGAAAUGCGUUGAUAUCCAGCGGAACUCCGGUGGCGAAGGCGGCUCGCUGGACCUUCACUGACGCUGAGGCGCGAAAGCCAGGGGAGCGAACGGGAUUAGAAACCCUCGUAGUCC
rnacentral:rRNA from 1 species